ACCCCGCCUGCAUGAAGUCGGAAUUGCUAGUAAUCGCGGAUCAGCAUGCCGCGGUGAAUACGUUCUCGGGCCUUGUACACACCGCCCGUCACACCAUGGGAGUCGGUAACACCCGAAGUCUGUAGCUUGACGCAAGAGGGCGCAGCCGAAGGUGGGAUUGAUGACUGGGGUGAAGUCGUAACAAGGUACC
rnacentral:rRNA from 1 species